rnacentral:rRNA from 1 species
GUACGGGGGGGCAAGCGUUGUUCGGAAUUACUGGGCGUAAAGGGUUCGUAGGUGGCCAACUAAGUCAGACGUGAAAUCCCUCAGCUUAACUGGGGAACUGCGUCUGAUACUGGUUGGCUUGAGUGCAGGAGAGGAACGCGGAAUUCCAGGUGUAGCGGUGAAAUGCGUAGAUAUCUGGAGGAACACCGGUGGCGAAGGCGGCGUUCUGGACUGCAACUGACACUGAGGUGCGAGAGCGUGGGGAGCGAACCGG